GGUCUAUACGAGCCAUUUAAAUUAGGUUACCGUUACUGGUAGUUAAAUCCUUAUUUCCUUAUUUUGCACAACUGUUUUGGAAUUUUGGGUCGUCAAUGCUCUUUAACUUUGUACUUGUUUGGCUUUACAAAUAUUUUGAUUGAAGCGUCACUGAUGAGUCUUAUGUAGACGAAACGCGCGUCUGGCGUAUUGCAUUAUAAUCCUGGUACUUUUGAUAACUAUAUUCAUUACCAAAACUUAUAUAAACAUAAUGGCUCGUUCUAAACCAGAGACAUUUUCAUAAAAGUAUGUGAUUGACUGUUCGGGGUACAAGUAGUAUGCACCCUCCCCAAAACAAUACCUUUGGGAUGACAGACAGUAUGGAACUCCAUAGUUUAUACACAUGUAUUCUAUCAUUCUUUGCUCUUCAUUUCACCAUAAACUGGUUAAGGUUACUCACUUGUUAAAAGCCGAAACAAGUCGAACAUUACUGCACAGAGAUUGUAGUACCACAAUUUGAAACGCAUUAGACAUGUUAGAUUGUUAAGUGUCUGUGUUUGUACUCAUAUUAUAUAUUUGGGAUUUGGGUGUUGCUAUUAGUUGUGGUCUUUUGUACUCUCUAAUAUUUUUGUUUUGUUCUUUGAUUUGUGAUAAUGAACCUAAAAAAACUUCCUUCGUUGUAAAUAUUCAUUCGAUUGAUUUAUAAACUUUAGGUGGACCAUUCAGGACCUCCCAAUAAUAUGAUUUGAAUUCGAGAUCACGCAUUAAAAAUAUCGUGAUUACGGAUUAACAUCGAUCGUAAUCACUGGUUUUAUAAUACAUUAUCACGGAUUUAAU
rnacentral:lncRNA from 1 species